rnacentral:rRNA from 1 species
UAGGGAAUCUUCCACAAUGGACGAAAGUCUGAUGGAGCAACGCCGCGUGAGUGAUGAAGGGUUUCGGCUCGUAAAACUCUGUUGUUGGAGAAGAACAGGUGAUAGAGUAACUGUUAUCAUCUUGACGGUAUCCAACCAGAAAGCCACGGCUAACUACGUGCCAGCAGCCGCGGUAAUACGUAGGUGGCAAGCGUUGUCCGGAUUUAUUGGGCGUAAAGCGAGCGCAGGCGGUUUUUUAGGUCUGAUGUGAAAGCCUUCGGCUUAACCGGAGAAAGGGCAUCGGAAACCGGGAGACUUGAGUGCAGAAGAGGACAGUGGAACUCCAUGUGUAGCGGUGAAAAUGCGUAGAUAUAUGGAAGAACACCAGUGGCGAAGGCGGCUGUCUGGUCUGUAACUGACGCUGAGGCUCGAAAGCAUGGGUAGCGAACAGGAUUAGAUACCCUGGUAGUCCAUGCCGUAAAACGAUGAGUGCUAAGUGUUGGAGGGUUUCCGCCCUUCAGUGCUGCAGC